UACGAAGGGGGCUAGCGUUGUUCGGAAUCACUGGGCGUAAAGGGCGCGUAGGCGGUGUGUCAAGUCAGGCGUGAAAGCCCCGGGCUCAACCUGGGAACCGCGCUUGAGACUGGCACGCUCGAGUUCGGGAGAGGAUGGUGGAAUUCCCAGUGUAGAGGUGAAAUUCGUAGAUAUCAGGAGGAACACCGGUGGCGAAGGCGGCUUUCUGGACACUUACUGACGCUGAGACGCGAAAGCGUGGGGAGCAAACAGG
rnacentral:rRNA from 1 species